AACGAACGCUGGCGGCAGGCUUAACACAUGCAAGUCGAGCGCCCCGCAAGGGGAGCGGCAGACGGGUGAGUAACGCGUGGGAAUCUACCCAUCUCUACGGAAUAACGCAUGGAAACGUGUGCUAAUACCGUAUGCGUCCUUCGGGAGAAAGAUUUAUCGGAGAUGGAUGAGCCCGCGUUGGAUUAGCUAGUUGGUGGGGUAAAGGCCUACCAAGGCGACGAUCCACAGCUGGUCUGAGAGGAUGAUCAGCCACACUGGGACUGAGACACGGCCCAGACUCCUACGGGAGGCAGCAGUGGGGAAUAUUGGACAAUGGGCGCAAGCCUGAUCCAGCCAUGCCGCGUGAGUGAUGAAGGCCCUAGGGUUGUAAAGCUCUUUCACCGGUGAAGAUAAUGACGGUAACCGGAGAAGAAGCCCCGGCUAACUUCGUGCCAGCCGCCGCUGUAACAC
rnacentral:rRNA from 1 species